rnacentral:rRNA from 1 species
UACGUAGGGCGCAAGCGUUGUCCGGAAUUAUUGGGCGUAAAGGGCUCGUAGGCGGCCAACUAAGUCGGACGUGAAAUCCCCAGGCUCAACCUGGGAACUGCGUCCGAUACUGGAUGGCUUGAAUUCGGGAGAGGGAUGCAGAAUUCCAGGUGUAGCGGUGAAAUGCGUAGAUAUCUGGAGGAAUACCGGUGGCGAAGGCGGCAUCCUGGACCGACAUUGACGCUGAUGAGCGAAAGCCAGGGGAGCAAACGGG